rnacentral:rRNA from 1 species
UACGUAGGGUGCAAGCGUUGUCCGGAAUUAUUGGGCGUAAAGAGCUCGUAGGCGGUCUGUCGCGUCGGCUGUGAAACCCGGAGCUCAACUCCGGGCCUGCAGUCGAUACGGGCAGACUGGAGUUCGGCAGGGGAGACUGGAAUUCCUGGUGUAGCGGUGAAAUGCGCAGAUAUCAGGAGGAACACCGGUGGCGAAGGCGGGUCUCUGGGCCGAUACUGACGCUGAGGAGCGAAAGCGUGGGGAGCGAACGGA